CGAGUCACAGCAUUCCAGCCUGGGCUACAAAGCAAGACUGCGUGUCAGAAAAAGAAAAGAAAAAUGGAUUCAAAGAUUUAUCACUGUUAAGUUCCACCAGCAAAUUAUUAAAUGUGGUUCCAAAGGGAUAUUUAAAAAGGGAAAUUAAAAUUGUUUCCAAGAAAGCCCUAUUCACAGCAGAAACGUAGACACUGUACCUGACCUCACCACACAAAGUUCCCUCAUGUGUUGGGAGGGACCAAGGGGCUCUCUGGUCCUGCACCUGCGUUAAUUAUGGCCGGGAGGUCCGCAGUAGGACCCUAAGGGCUAGGAACCAGCCUGGGUCAGGGGCAGAGAAGUGGUGGAUGUGGCUCCCAAAGUGGCUUAGGGGUUCCCUUCCCUGUGGCUGUUUCCUGACUGGAUGCAGCAGGGUCAGGCCUUUCAGUGUGACGUUUUCUACUCUUUAUUAGAGUGGCAGGAGCGUCCCUGUGCGAGGCCUGACCCAGGUGUGGGCCUUGCAGCCAGCUCGGGGUCCAAGGGGCACUCCUGCGGUGCUGCAAAGGAGGAUUUGUGACAACCCAGAGGAUGGAGGAAACGGCGGCUUUGAAAAGGUUUGUGAGCAGCCCCCGGUCCCCUGCCGCUCCGUGAGAAAUCAAACUUCAGGCACUGACGAAGCAUGAAGCCAGCAUCUUAGGAAGAGGUAGUGACAUAAUUACAAGGGCGACCGGAUUACAAUCACAGCCAGCAUGAACAUGGGGCGGCGCACAGUCCUGAAGAGGAAAGCCGGGCUGUGUUGACCUCGCUGUGCAUGCUGGGAGUUGUAGUCUCUUCACUGCUCCCGCCCGUUGUUUCAGGCACUUCGGGACUACAAUCCCAGCAUGACCCGGGCUCGGGGACGGGGCGCAGUUCUCGUGGGAGGAGCGGGGCGGUGAGAGCCUGGCUAGGCAGGCUGGAAACAGUAGCUCUUAACGGUCCCCCGCCCGUUGGUGGCAAGGCGGCUGGACUGGAAUCCCAGCAGGCGACAUGCGAGGAGGCGGGCAGCCCAGGAGGGUUGGACACGGCAAUGUGGACCUCGCCGCUUCCACAACGAUGCUGGCUACUGAUCGCGUGCACUUCCUUGCCAAAGAAAAUUUGUGCUGUGCACUAACAUGCAAUACAAAUACUGAUGAAAAUAAAACUAUUGCCCUCCUACCAAAUGAGAAAUUAAUGUUAUGACUGGAUGAAGACAAUUGUGAAGAAACUGCACUUUGAGGUUGUCUAUCUCUGUAUUCUGAUGGAAAAGCGUGGAGUUUAGAAGCACUGCUCACUCCUUCAGUUUCUAACAAGUUUGAGACUAUGGUUAGGUGGUGAGGAAGGCAGGCUCAGCACCCAAGCCUUGGGGAGACGCAGAAAGGGCCCAUCCCAGGCACUCAGGUGGAGUAAAACUGAUGCUCCAGAAAGAUGCCCAGGGAGAUUCUGUCCUGCUGCGUCCGCACUGUACAGAACUGACGCUGUGCCUACGCCCGUUUCAGAAGCGUGGAGUACUUAAGAGUUAAUCUAAAAAAG
rnacentral:lncRNA from 1 species